UAUGGUGGCAAUAGCGAAGAGGUCACACCCGUUCCCAUACCGAACACGGAAGUUAAGCUCUUCAGCGCCGAUGGUAGUUGGGGGCUUCCCCCUGUGAGAGUAGGACGUCGCCAUGC
rnacentral:rRNA from 2 species